rnacentral:ncRNA from 1 species
UGAAAUACAUUGAUGGAACGAACACUUGUGAAACCUACAGAGAGUCGAUGGUUGGUGGAAAUCGACGGUGAAGACAAGCUGGUUCAGCAGUCCUGAGUUAUUGCACUGAAUUUCUAGUAGGUGCGAUCGGCCGAAUCCGUUAUCGUUCUUGGUCUUUAGACCGAUUGAGGUUGCUUGUCAUGCAGCAACGAAUUAGGGUGGCACCACGAAUUAAACUCUCGUCCCUUAC